rnacentral:tRNA from 1 species
GCAUUGGUGGUUCAACGAUAGAAUUCUUGUCUCUCAUGCAGGAGACCUGGGUUAAAUUCCCAGCCAACAUA